AUUGAACGCUGGCGGCAUGCCUUACACAUGCGAGUCGAACGGUAACAGGUCUUCGGAUGCUGACGAGUGGCGAACGGGUGAGUAAUACAUCGGAACGUGCCUAGUAGUGGGGGAUAACUACUCGAAAGAGUGGCUAAUACCGCAUGAGAUCUACGGAUGAAAGCAGGGGAUCGCAAGACCUUGUGCUACUAGAGCGGCCGAUGGCAGAUUAGGUAGUUGGUGGGAUAAAAGCUUACCAAGCCGACGAUCUGUAGCUGGUCUGAGAGGACGACCAGCCACACUGGGACUGAGACACGGCCCAGACUCCUACGCGAGGCAGCAGUGGGGAAUUUUGGACAAUGGGCGCAAGCCUGAUCCAGCAAUGCCGCGUGCAGGAUGAAGGCCUUCGGGUUGUAAACUGCUUUUGUACGGAACGAAAAGCCCUGGGUUAAUACCCUGGGGUCAUGACGGUACCGUAAGAAUAAGCACCGGCUAACUACGUGCCAGCCGCCGGCGUAACAC
rnacentral:rRNA from 1 species